GACCGCUCUGGUGGCCUAGUGGUUAGAAUGUCUGCCUCGGAUGGAAGAGGUCGUGGGUUCGAACCCCAGCCGAGUCU